rnacentral:rRNA from 1 species
AUUGAACGCUGGCGGCAUGCUUUACACAUGCAAGUCGGACGGCAGCACAGAGAAGCUUGCUUCUUGGGUGGCGAGUGGCGAACGGGUGAGUAACAUAUCGGAACGUACCGAGCAGUGGGGGAUAACUAAUCGAAAGAUUAGCUAAUACCGCAUAUUUUCUGAGGAAGAAAGCAGGGGACCAUUUGGCCUUGCGCUGUUUGAGCGGCCGAUAUCUGAUUAGCUAGUUGGUGGGGUAAAGGCCUACCAAGGCGACGAUCAGUAGCGGGUCUGAGAGGAUGAUCCGCCACACUGGGACUGAGACACGGCCCAGACUCCUACGGGAGGCAGCAGUGGGGAAUUUUGGACAAUGGGCGCAAGCCUGAUCCAGCCAUGCCGCGUGUCUGAAGAAGGCCUUCGGGUUGUAAAGGACUUUUGUCAGGGAAGAAAAGGAUAGGGUUAAUACCCCUGUCNGANGACGGUNC